GGUGAGGUGCGAGAGUGGUUUAAUCGGGCGGUCUCGAAAACCGCUGAGGUCCUCGUGGCCUCCGUGGGUUCGAAUCCCACCCUCACCGCCA
rnacentral:tRNA from 1 species